GCUCUUCGUGGAUAGCUCAGUUGGUUAGAGCAUGGUGCUGAUAAUGCCAAGGUUGCAGGUUUGAUCCCUGUAUGGGGCA
rnacentral:tRNA from 1 species